UCUAAGAAAGCGGCACUCAGAAGCUUCCUACCAGUCUAUAGACUGAGAAGGCUCUGGACAAACCAACUUCAGAAAAAAUUCCAAACCUGUUUCUGCAGUGUCGGCUGUGCUGUUUCCAGGGUCACGUGUUAAGGUGGGAUCUGCACCUAUUGGAAAGUCAUCUGAGAUCCUAUCCUUCGAGCUCCAUUUGGUCGGCACUCUGUGGACUCAGGUUGGUGCACUCUGCGGACUCAGGUUGAUUAGAUGCAUGCACUAUGACAAGACCCGUGCUGAGACAAGACCCUUGCUGGAGCAAGACACAUAGACGACAAGUGAUGAAGUGACGGAGACAGAGCUUGGCUUGCUGGUACAGCCAGCUGUGCAACCCUGUGGGUCUCAACUCUUCACUGAUCUUCCCUUCCCCGAGAGAGGCACUGUCAAGAACUUUUUCCCUGGUGCCUCUACAGGUCCCUCCUGCUGACUUGAGCCAAGGCUGGGACCUGGCUGUCUCUGCUAGAUUGUGUCACCACUGUUGAUUCCUGUUUGCUAUCCCAGCUCUAUCAAACUGGACUGCUGGUGUAUCUGUAAAUUGUGUGUGAGUGUAUCGAGCUGCAGCUGCUAACCUGUGAACUGAACUGCUGAUCUCCACACAACACAAAUGAGAGCUGCACUAGGGAACCUUCCUAAACAGGUCUACUUUCCUGUAUCCUUUCUCUUCCACUACCUCUGGUAGGUGGUAUGCUACAAGAGAGGUUAAAAUGUUUAAGAACUAUGUUUAAAAAUAAAGUUUAACAGAAAAUAAAGUUACACUCAGGAGCCUCAGCCCGCUCCUUCUAUUCA